CUAGGUCUUGCAGCUAGUGAGUCUGAGGCCUGAUUUGAAUGCAGAUUUUCUUGAUUUCAGGACCAGUGCGCUGACAAAUGCUGAAAGAAGAGCAAGUGAGAGGAAAUAUGUCACUAGCAUGGAAAUAGAGGUGGAGGAGGGUUGGUUUGAGUGAAUGAAAAGUCAGAGCUUCAUUGACUGAAGAAAUAAUAAAAUAGAAUACUUAAGAAAUUGCAGACAUAAGGUGGAAGCUGACUCUCCAACAAGUUAUUGAAUUUCUGAAUAUCUCCCUAGAGAUUUUGAAGAGGAAAUUUCUCCUUUAGUGAGAUCAGAGACUUUCUCUUGGUUUGAACUGAGAUCUUCUCAUCGUCACAGCAGAAGAGCUUAUGUGGAAUUCUGGGGAAAUUCCUAUUUAGCUACUCUUAAAUCUAGAGAGAUACACAAUGGGAUAAAUUCAUGCUGAUAAACAAGCAAGUGCCCCCAGGUAAAGAGUAAUGGGGCCAAGUUGACUUACAAGAGAAUG
rnacentral:lncRNA from 1 species